AGCGAACGCUGGCGGCAGGCCUAACACAUGCAAGUCGAACGGACCCUUCGGGGUUAGUGGCGGACGGGUGAGUAACACGUGGGAACGUGCCUUUAGGUUCGGAAUAGCUCCUGGAAACGGGUGGUAAUGCCGAAUGUGCCCUUCGGGGGAAAGAUUUAUCGCCUUUAGAGCGGCCCGCGUCUGAUUAGCUUGUUGGUGGGGUAAUGGCCCACCAAGGCUACGAUCAGUAGCUGGUCUGAGAAGAUGACCAGCCACAUUGGGACUGAGACACGGCCCAAACUCCUACGGGAGGCAGCAGUGGGGAAUCUUGCGCAAUGGGCGAAAGCCUGACGCAGCCAUGCCGCGUGUAUGAUGAAGGUCUUAGGAUUGUAAAAUACUUUCACCGGUGAAGAUAAUGACUGUAGCCGGAGGAGAAGCCCCGGCUAACUUCGUGCCAGCAGCCGCGGUAAUACGAAGGGGGCUAGCGUUGCUCGGAAUUACUGGGCGUAAAGGGAGCGUAGGCGGACAUUUAAGUC
rnacentral:rRNA from 1 species